UAAGAUUUGACGAGAAAAAAAAUUUAAUCUUUCUAUACCAAAUGAGCAAAAACCGUUCUCUCCAAAUCUGGAAACCCAAUAAAAACAGGAACAACCCACAAAAAAACCGGGAACUCAAAAAUAUUUACAACUUAAUAUAGCCCUUUUAACAGCUAAGUUCUUACUUUAUAUUUAAAUAGAUAUAUAGCCCUGUGUUGUUGUCUCUAAACAGUUGUCCAAAGAUAGAUUCUAUGUUUUUGUAGUUUUACUCAUCAGAUACUGCAGUUUCCUCUUUUCCAGUUCUGCAAAUUUUAGACAUAAGCAACCUUCCAUAGAAACCGACACCUUAUCCGUGAUUCUUCUCUGUCAUCUUAUACUCUCUCUUGUCUUCUCUAAAUCCCUCUCCCUCUCUCCCUCUCUCUCUGUAUGUGUGUGUGUGUAGAAUACACAUUCCUUGUUGUUUUUGGUUUCUUUUCUUUUCUUUUCUUUUUUAUUGUGCACGAAACCAAAUUCUUGCCUUUCACGAGAUGAUAAGAGAGUAGUAGUGGUAACAGGAGGAGUAAUAGCUUUUAGUCUUUUUAGUUUGAUAUUUUUGAACUCUUUCUUGCUAUUGUGUUGGCGGUAUAUAUAGGGACUUCACGUGCCCUGUUUUAUUCAGCAAUUCAAGGCCCUUUGGUUUUGAUUCUUUCUCGCUUUGUUUUUGGUGCUUUUCUUUGACCUGGAGUCUUGUACAAUUCUUUGUUUAUUGGUAUAAGAUCAGUACCACUUGAAUUUGAUGAUUUUGAGCUUUGUUUCUGCAAAUUUUGGUGAAGUGCGGUUUUGGUUUCUGGGUUCAUAGAUAAAGUUCAUAUUUUGAUG